rnacentral:misc_RNA from 1 species
AACCUAGCACACCUGCGGUGUGUACCUGCGGAGGGAUCAUUACCGAGUUUACAACUCCCAAACCCCUGUGAACAUACCUAUAAUUUGCCUCGGCGGACUCAACGACGGUGCUCCGAGAAAUCGGGCGCCGCUCGCUGCCAGAGGAACCCCAAACUCUAUGUAUUCUUGUGGAUCUUCUGAGUAAAACAAAACAAAUAAAUCAAAACUUUCAACAACGGAUCUCAGAUCGGAAGAGCACAC